rnacentral:rRNA from 1 species
GACGUAGGGUGCAAGCGUUGUCCGGAUUUACUGGGCGUAAAGCGCGCGUAGGCGGCUUGUUAAGUGUGAAGUGAAAUCUCUGGGCUCACCCCAGAAACUGCUUCGCAUACUGGCAGGCUUGAGGGACGGAGAGGUGAAUGGAAUUCCUGGUGUAGCGGUGAAAUGCGUUGAUAUCAGGAGGAACACCGAUGGCGAAGGCAGUUCACUGGCCGUUUCCUGACGCUGAGGCGCGAAAGCGUGGGUAGCAAACUGG